rnacentral:lncRNA from 1 species
GGAAAGCGAUGCCAACUUAAAUCUUUGCUUUGUUGGUCUGUUUUUUAUUUCUUUCUUUUCAUUUUCCCAUAAUUAAAUGUGCCAUAGUACAGGUUUUACUUCCCAUGUCAAUCGAGAGCAAGUGAAAACAGGAGAAGGGAUGACCUUGCGCUUCCUCUCAUUGGUUUGUUUUUUAAAAAGCAUUUAUUGCAGAAAAAAUAUGAGGCUUGCUGGUAGUAUUCCCAGGUGACAAAUGUGCACCCAACACCCUACAGAAAAGAAGAACCAUAAAAUAAUUAAUUAUUCUAUUGUAACUCCUGCCUGGAAAACAUCUGAAAGAAGUCACUAGAUUCAGCCCACAUUCAAGAUGAGAAAUACCAGAAGACAGAGAACACUGAGGCUGUUUUAGAGGCUGUCAACCCCAGGGAGACAGACAGCAAAUAAAUAAGCAAAUAAAUAAAAAUGGAAGGUGAUAAUAAGCACAACGAAAAGAAAUGAAGCAGAGUAAAGAAUCAAGAGUAGCGGUUGAGGGGAUGCUUGGAUGUUUUCACACCACUCUGACACAUGGAUGGAAGGUUAGAAGACAACAAAGGAAUGGGCUGGGAAGGACUCCAAAAGCAGAAUCAGAGAUUAUAUCAUUCCUUGGAAAUGGAGAAAAGGAUCAGAAAAGCUGAAUAAAAGGCAAACAUGGAGGAACAGAGUUUGGAGCAAUACCCUGACUUACAUUCAGUACUGUUAAUGGCUCCAGCAUCUUGAAACAAGCCAAUUUUGGAUUUUCAGCCACUGUCCAAGAUGAUGUGAACUCCAGGCUAUUGACUUUCCUCUACCUUCAAUGGAAAUUGUCAUGGAGAAUUAAGUUUUUGACAAAUCUACAACCUAUGUGCAGGGCUUCUUCCUGGGUGUAACAAUAAGGAAUUUGGAAACUGUCUCUAGUUUUGGCCUGGAGUCACACUGCAGCUUGAGACCCUGUCAUUUCUAUGAAGCUUGAAAAUAUACAUCUUAAUAAACUGCAAUACUUCUUAAACCUU